UACAGAGGGUGCGAGCGUUGUUCGGAAUUAUUGGGCGUAAAGCGCUUGUAGGCGGCACGUCAAGUCGCGUGUGAAAUCCCCAGGCUUAACCUGGGAAGUGCGCGCGAAACUGACGAGCUUGAGUGCCGGAGAGGGUCGCGGAAUUCCCGGUGUAGAGGUGAAAUUCGCAGAUAUCAGGAGGAACACCGGUGGCGAAGGCGGGUCUCUGGGCCGAUACUGACGCUGAGGAGCGAAAGCGUGGGGAGCAAACAGG
rnacentral:rRNA from 1 species